rnacentral:rRNA from 1 species
CAUGUCUUUUUGAUAAUAAUUUAAGGUCUAGCCUGCUCAAUGAUUAAUUAAAUAGCUGCAGUAUCUUAACUGUACAAAGGUAGCAUAAUCAUUAGUUUUUUAAUUGAAAACUGGAAUGAAUGGCUGAAUGAGAAAACUUCUGUCUCAAUAUAAUUUUUGUUGAAUUUUAUUUUUAAGUUAAAAAGCUUAAAUUUUUUAAAAAGACGAGAAGACCCUAUAGAGUUUAAUAUAUAAAUUUGAAAUUUUUAAUUAAGAAUUAUAUUAUUUUUUAUGUUUAUAUAUUUUGUUGGGGUGAUAGUAAAAUUUAAUUAACUUUUAUUAAUUCUUUUUCAUUGAUUGAUGCUUGCUUUGAUCCUAUAUUUUAGAUUAAAAGAAAAAAUUACCUUAGGGAUAACAGCGUAAUUUUCUUUGAGAGUUCUAAUCGAAAAGAGAGAUUGCGACCUCGAUGUUGGAUUAAAAUUUAUGUUUGGCGCAGUAGCUAGACUAAUUGGGUCUGUUCGACCUUUAAAAUUUUACAUGAUCUGAGU